UCGCUGACGACCGGCGCACGGGUGCGUAACGCGUAUGCAACCUACCUCAUACUGGAGGAUAGCCCCUGGAAACGGGGAUUAAUACUCCAUAGUAUCACGAAUUCGCAUGUUUUUGUGAUUAAAGUUUUUCGGUAUGAGAUGGGCAUGCGUCCCAUCAGCUUGUUGGUGAGGUAACGGCUCACCAAGGCAACGAUGGGUAGGGGGCCUGAGAGGGUGGUCCCCCACACUGGUACUGAGACACGGACCAGACUCCUACGGGAGGCAGCAGUGAGGAAUAUUGGUCAAUGGAGGCAACUCUGAACCAGCCAUGCCGCGUGAAGGAUGACGGCCCUAUGGGUUGUAAACUUCUUUUAUAGAGGAAGAAACUUGUCUACGUGUAGACAACUGACGGUACUCUACGAAUAAGGAUCGGCUAACUCCGUGCCAGCAGCCGCGGUAAUACGGAGGAUCCAAGCGUUAUCCGGAUUCAUUGGGUUUAAAGGGUCCGUAGGCGGGUCUUUAAGUCAGUGGUGAAAGCCGACAGCUCAACUGUCGAACUGCCAUUGAUACUGGAGACCUUGAGUACAAAUGAAGUAGGCGGAAUGAGUCAUGUAGCGGUGAAAUGCAUAGAUAUGACUCAGAACACCGAUUGCGAAGGCAGCUUACUAACAUGUAACUGACGCUGAGGGACGAAAGCGUGGGGAGCGAACAGGAUUAGAUACCCUGGUAGUCCACGCCGUAAACGAUCAUCACUCGCUGUUGGCGAUAUACUGUCAGCGGCCAAGCGAAAGUAUUAAGUGAUGCACCUG
rnacentral:rRNA from 1 species